rnacentral:rRNA from 1 species
UACGGAGGGGGCGAGCGUUAUUCGGAAUUAUUGGGCGUAAAGGGCGCGUAGGCGGCUUGAUGUGUCAAAGGUGAAAUCCCUCGGCUCAACUGAGGAACUGCCUUUGAAACUGUCUGGCUUGAGGCCGGGAGAGGGUAGCGGAAUUCUCAGUGUAGCGGUGAAAUGCGUAGAUACUGGGAGGAACACCGGUGGCGAAGGCGGCUACCUGGACCGGUUCUGACGCUGAUGCGCGAAAGCGUGGGUAGCAAACAGG